AACAAACGCUGGCGGCGUGCCUAACACAUGCAAGUCGUACGAGAAAGGGUCCUUCGGGACCUGAGUAAAGUGGCGCACGGGUGAGUAACGCGUGGAUAAUCUGCCCUUCAGUUGGGAACAACUCAUCGAAAGGUGGGCUAAUACCGAAUAACACUGUGAGACUUUGGUCGAGCAGUCAAAGAGAGCCUCUGCUUGCAAGCCCUCGCUGAAGGAUGAGUCCGCGUACCAUUAGCUAGUUGGUAGGGUAAUGGCCUACCAAGGCGACGAUGGUUAGCUGGUCUGAGAGGAUGAUCAGCCACACUGGAACUGAGAUACGGUCCAGACUCCUACGGGAGGCAGCAGUGAGGAAUCUUGCGCAAUGGGGGAAACCCUGACGCAGCAACGCCGCGUGAGUGAGGAAGGUCUUCGGAUCGUAAAGCUCUGUCAGUUGGGAAGAAAUGCCUGAGGGUUAAUACCCUUCAGGCUUGACGGUACCAACAGAGGAAGCACCGGCUAACUCCGUGCCAGCCGCCGCUGUAA
rnacentral:rRNA from 1 species